rnacentral:lncRNA from 1 species
AUGAGGUGGCAAGGAAUCUCUGAAAUGUGCUUGAUCCUCUUUGGGAGCCUGAAGCGUGAGUCACUGCUGUGGCUAGAACGUGACUCACUCCUGCCACUCUUUAGGAAGCUCACCCAGAAGCUAGAGAGCAGGAAAUGGAGGCCAGGAAGUAUCUACCUCUUUUGCACCCCAUCUCAUUCUGAGGCCAAACAGUGUGUGAUCAUUAUUAUUAUGUUUAUUACUGUGAUUAUUAUUGUUCAUGUUAUUAUUGUUGCCCUUUUGAUCAGUUCGGUCCAUUCCUCUUAUUGUGUGUAAGGCUUCAUCUCCCCUUAACUCUGUGCUUGUGUCUCCCUUCCCCUUCCAAUUCAGUUUAAAGCUCUCCUGAUGAAGUUCUUCAUGCUGUGGGCAAACACAUUCUUCCCAGUCCUUGUUAGAUGCAAGCCGUCUCUUGCUAGCUGUCCUUCUUCCAGGACGCUUAGAACAUGGUCCCAAAAACCAAAUCCCUCUCGUCAACACCACCUUCAUAGCCAGUUAUUCACCCAGAGGAUCUUCC